AACGCACAGAAAUUGGAUGCAUCCUAUACACCCAAUUGUGAAGUAACAUAAAGAGAAAUCAAUGAAUCAAUCCCAUUUACAACUGCACCAAAAACCAUAAAAUACCUAGGAAUAAAUGUAACCAAAGAGGCAAAAGAUCUGUAGGCUGACAAGUAUAAAAUGCUUAUGAAAGAAAUUGAAGAAGACAUAAAAAAUG